UACGUAGGGGGCAAGCGUUGUCCGGAUUUAUUGGGCGUAAAGAGCGUGUAGGCGGCCAUGCAGGUCCGCUGUGAAAACUCGAGGCUCAACCUCGAGAGGUCGGUGGAAACCGCAUGGCUAGAGUCCGGAAGAGGAGAGUGGAAUUCCCGGUGUAGCGGUGAAAUGCGCAGAUAUCGGGAAGAACACCCGUGGCGAAGGCGGCUCUCUGGGACGGUACUGACGCUGAGACGCGAAAGCGUGGGGAGCGAACAGG
rnacentral:rRNA from 1 species